rnacentral:rRNA from 1 species
UCCAGCAGCCGCGGUAAUUCCAGCUCCAAUAGCGUAUAUUAAAAUUGUUGCAGUUAAAAAGCUCGUAGUUGAAUUUCUGCUAAAAAUAACCGGUCUGCUUUUAAUAAAGGUGGUAUCUUGGUGUGUUUUUAGCAAUAAUGUCCUUUGAAAUGUUUUUUACUUCAUUGUAAUAAAUUAUAUUCAGGAUUUUUACUUUGAGAAAAUUAGAGUGUUUCUAGCAGGCUAACGCUUUGAAUACUGCAGCAUGGAAUAAUAAAAUAGGAUUUUGGUUCUACAUUAUUGGUUUUAAGAGCUAAAUUAAUGAUUGAUAGGGACAGUUGGGGGCAUUUGUAUUUAACUGUCAGAGGUGAAUUUCUUAGAUUUGUUAAAGACAAACUACUGCGAAAGA